UGGGGCCAUAGGUGUUGAAGUAUGUAACUUGAGGGCACGUUCAGCCAAGUACUAGUAAAGAAGUGAGUCACAAUAGCUAAAGGACAGACUCCAAGGGAAGAACUACAAAUUGGCUGCUUGGGGGAGAAAACAGAUAUGCAGAUUGGAAGAUUUCAAGAUUUUACUGCACUGAGUGAUUCUGAGAGACUUUCAAGGGCAGACUGUGCUCCAGGGAUGAAACACAGGGCAUGUCUACGCUUACCUCUAGAGCGACUGAUCCAGCAGGGGGUCGAUUUGUCGCAUCUAGUAAAGACGUGAUAAAUCGACCGCCGAGCGCUCUCCAGUCGACUCCGAUACUGCACUAAAGCGAGAAGCGUAGGCAGAGUCAAUGUGGGAGCAUCAGCAGUCGACCUACCGCAGUGAAGACACCGCGGUUAGUCUGGCUUCCAACAGCGGGAGAAGUGAAUAACAAGCCAAUCAACAUGCAAAAUAUUGAACAGAGUAGCACAGCAGACGGCCAUCAGCUGAAUAUGAGAUUAACAUGUGUUUGUAGUCAGGAUAGUUACUCUGUACAUUUGGCUUUCCUGGCAUUGAAAAUAUCUGCUUCACGUGUCUUCCAAGUCAUAUCUAUUUAGUUUGCUGGUCAAAACAAGUUGUUACUAAUGUCAGCGCUGCAGGGCUAAUGUAGCUGUGGAAGUGCAUGCUGGAUUCUGUUCUGAUUUGUGCAUUAUCAAUACAGAUUACCAGCUAAGGGCUUUAUUGUGCUUUCAUUGAAAUCAGUUGGAGUUUUGCUAUUGGCUUCAGUGGAAGCAGGAUUGAGCCCUAACUUCUGAUUCUAAUCUUUUUAUUGCUGGCAAUGUCUGAAACAGCUUGAGUAUACCAGUUUGAGCUCGCAGUGCAUGGCAUUUGGGAAAUUCUCUUUUGAUAUGUGAAUAAAUUAGAUCUGUAUGCCAUUGAGGGAGAUUGAGUAUGCAUUACAUGGCACAAUUCCUCCCCUUUAAUUUCAAUAGAUUAUAAAAUUAUUCUGUGGCAGACUAAACCAGCUAAAUACUUUUGUUAUCCAAGGCCAAGGUACCUAGAAGACCACUCUUAGUCGCUGUGUCCGUUCAGUUCUUGGCCUUUAUACUGAGGUAUACAGUAAACAGGGUGCCACUUAAUGCCAAUGGAGAAACUGGAUUGAUGCCACCAACUCAUUUCAGUAACACAUUUCAGUCACUACCAACCUGGAGUGGAUUUAACCAGCAUUUUAGAAAUUAAAGUCUCUGUAUUGCAUUACAAAUCCCCUGAGACAGCAACUAUUUUUUUUUCUUUUUGCGUUUUCUAUACACCGGUUAGCUACUGUAACUGUAGAUGGUUAACUGCUCCUUAAAUCAUCUCAGUAUCUGCAAGUUAAGAAGCUUUGACUCGUGUGUGUGACGCUCAGCACCUUUCUGUGAGGCAUGUAAAAUAUUUUCCAAAACAGAAUUUUUUACAGUUCUGUUCUGGUGCCAGUACACCCUUAUAAAAGAAGCUAAUCUGAGCUAAUGAUUGUGUAAGAUUAAAAAAAGGAACACAGGAACUUCUCUUCUCUGAAUUUAUGGCAUUACAGUUCUUCCCAUGGCAACAUAGAUAGUCAGAUGUUAGGUAGCAAAGUACAAGCAGAAGAAAAAGGCAAACAAUGAAGGGGAAAAAAACCAGAAUUUAAUGCCAAUUUUUGUAAGAAAAUAAGAACUCAUAGGUAUAAGAGAAGCCUUGUAAAUGUGAAGAAUAUCUUUCAGAGUGCGUUAAUUUUUUUUCUUUUGGACUAGCUUGUUUAAAAUGUAUACAGAAAGCGCUUUA